CACGGUAGGGCGCAAGCGUUGUCCGGAAUUAUUGGGCGUAAAGAGCUCGUAGGCGGUCUGUUACGUCUGCUGUGAAAACCCGGGGCUUAACCCUGGGCUUGCAGUGGAUACGGGCAGACUAGAGGCAGGUAGGGGAGAAUGGAAUUCCCGGUGUAGCGGUGAAAUGCGCAGAUAUCGGGAGGAACACCGGUGGCGAAGGCGGUUCUCUGGGCCUGACCUGACGCUGAGGAGCGAAAGCGUGGGGAGCGAACAGG
rnacentral:rRNA from 1 species